GACGAACGCUGGCGGCGUGCUUAACACAUGCAAGUCGAACGGAAAGGCCCUGCUUUUGUGGGGUGCUCGAGUGGCGAACGGGUGAGUAACACGUGAGUAACCUUCCCUGGACUUUGGGAUAACUGCAGGAAACUGGGGCUAAUACCUGAUAGGAGCUCCUGCUGCAUGGUGGGGGUUGGAAAGUUUCGGCGGUGGGGGAUGGACGCGCGGCUUAUCAGCUUGUUGGUGGGGUAGUGGCUUACCAAGGCUUUGACGGGUAGCCGGCCUGGGAGGGUGAACGGCGACAUUGGGCCUGAGAUACGGACCAGACUCCAACGGGAGGCAGCAGUGGGGAAUAUUGCACAAUGGGCGGAAGCCUGAUGCAGAAACGCCGCGUGCGGGAUGCCGGCCUUCGGGUUGUAAACCGCUUUCGCCUGUGACGAAGCGUGAGUGACGGUAAUGGGUAAAGAAGCACCGGCUAACUACGUG
rnacentral:rRNA from 1 species